rnacentral:lncRNA from 1 species
UUUUCAUCAAGGGUCAUUACAAGAUGUACAAGAUCAUUACAAUAUCUUCUUCUUCUUCUUCAUAUUCUUUGUCCUCUUCUUCUUCUUCUUCAUAUUCUUUGUCUUCUUCUUCUUCUUCUUCAUAUUCUUUGUCUUCUCCUCCUCCUCCUCCUCCUCCUUCUUCUUCUUCAUCAUCAUCAUCAUCAUCAUCAUCUUCUUCUUCUUCUUCUUCUUCUUCUUCUUCUUCUUCUUCUUUUUCUUCUUC